UCCCUGGUGGCUCAGAUGGUAAAGUAUCUGCCUGCAAUGCGGGAGACCCAGGUUCAAUCCCUGGAUUGGGAA
rnacentral:tRNA from 1 species